UACGUAGGGGGCUAGCGUUGUCCGGAUUUAUUGGGCGUAAAAGAGCGUGUAGGCGGCCAUGUAGGUCCGGUGUGAAAACUCGAGGCUUAACCUCGAGAUGUCAUCGGAAACCAUUUGGCUAGAGUCCGGAAGAGGAGAGUGGAAUUCCUGGUGUAGCGGUGAAAUGCGCAGAUAUCAGGAAGAACACCAAUGGCGAAAAGCAGCUCUCGUGGGACGGUACUGACGCUGAGACGCGAAAGCGUGGGGAGCGAACAGG
rnacentral:rRNA from 1 species